AAGAGACGAAGAUAAAGAAUGAGCUGUGAGCGCCGAGCUGGGAGGAAACCUCGGAGGGAGAAGAGAAGCUGUUAAAUUGAACUGAGCUGUUGACACAAAGCUGCUGGCCUCUGAGGGUGAAUUGGGAUGCUGUUGCUGGUAGUAUGCAUUGUUGCCCUGUUAGGCUUCGUUUUCACAGGGACAGAAGCUUCAGGCAGGAACCCCUGGAGCCUGCUGUCAAGGAGGACCUUGUAGUGGAGCAGUCCCCAUGAGCUGAGACCCGGUGCAGGAGCAGAGAGCUGCCUACGUGUGAAUCCAGGCAAGAGUCAGGAGCAGUCAGCCUACAGAGGAAGAGCCACGGGGCUUGGAAGUCAACCUAGAGUCAAGAUGAAAGAAGACUUUACUGGGAUGCUUGUGACCACAUGGACGCUUUGGUGAAGAUGCCAUUCUCACUGCUGAGAAGCUUAUACUUUGAAAGAAGGAGGAGUCAUCGACUAUGGAGCUAGAAGAGGUCAACUUGCUCCCUGUGGAUUUUGAUGACACUGUCAAGCUCAGUAAGAACAGCCAUCGGUGAGAUCAGAAAAAUUCUCCUUCAAGCACCUGAAAGAGUGAAAACAUCACGUCUGGUGGGUCUUAAUGGUCCCGGCACAGAACAUGGGAAACGCCCCAAACCUAAUUUUCUGGCAAAUCCCAUAACAAUGUCUGGGAUUAAAAGAGCAGGAACCAAAGAACUAUUUGAUUGCUCAAGAUAUGGAUUCCAGGAUGAUUGACAGAAGUUCAGAAUAACAUACCAUCUUGGGGAGAAAGGAGGAGAAGGAAGGGAGAAAAUUUAAAACUCAAAAUCAUAUGGAAGUGAAUGUUAAAAACUAAAAACAAUUAAUUAAUUUUUUAAAAAGAUGUUCAGAAUGAAAUGUAAACAAAAGGAAAUGUUCUACACCCAACAGACUGACACAUCUUCCAAGUUCUGAGAUUAUUUCAGUUGUAAAACAGAAAGAGGAAAGAAUAGGAGGGCUAUUGACUUGAGACAUGUGACUUAGGGCUCUUGAAAGUUUUCUCUGCCUUCGCUCUACUUUGAAUACCUCUCAAACUUAGAAAUGUUAUCACACUACCUUGUUUUUGCUUACAUAUGGUUAGAGAAUACCUCUUUUGUCAUCCCCUUCCUCUUAGUCAUCUUCAAUCUCUCCCUAUCUACUGGUUUCUUCCACGCUGCCUAAAAUCAUGCUUGUGUCUACUCCUCAUCCUUAUAAAAAAAAAAAACUUCUCUUAAUCCAAACAUCCCUGAGAGCUAUCAUCCCAUAUCUCUUUUCCCAGUCUCAUCUAUAGUCUGUGCCUUCCGUCUGAGAUCCCUGUAUAUACUGUAUUUACACAGUUAUUUGUAUGCUGCCUCCUCCAUGACAAAGUGAGCAUCUUGAGGGCAGGGACUGUAGUUGCCUUCCUUUUUACCUCCAGGGCUUAACACUGUUUCUGGCACGUGGUAGGCACUUAAUAAACAUUUGUUGAUUUGUUUUGACUUGAUCUGA